UCCUCUUUACAGAGGCAGUUUGUUCCGAGUCCCCGGCAUUACUCGCUGGUAACAGAACAUGAGGGUUGCGCUCGUUGCGGGACUUAACCCAACAUUUCACAACACGAGCUGACGACAGCCAUGCACCACCUGUGUAUCACCCUCGAAGGCGACUACUUUUCGGUAGCUUGCAGAUACAUGUCAAGGGCAGGUAAGGUUCUUCGCGUUGCGUCGAAUUAGACCACAUGCUCCGCUGCUUGUGCGGGUCCCCGUCAAUUCCUUUGAGUUUUAGCCUUGCGGCCGUACUCCCCAGGCGGAGUGCUUAAUGCGUUAGCUUCGGCACGGAGGGAGUCGACACCCCCCACACCUAGCGCCCAACGUUUACGGCGUGGACUAC
rnacentral:misc_RNA from 1 species